rnacentral:rRNA from 1 species
AUGCUGCUCAUGCGUUUGGUGCCGCGCAGCUCGCACAUCCAGUUUGGCGGCAGGGCGUUGGCACAGCGCCACCGGCGUCGAGGCAUGCGAAGAACAAGACGGCAGCGCCGCGGGCCGCCUCGGCGCACAUCGUGGUCGUCCACCUCGGCGUCUCGGCGUACGCUCAUGGACCGCCACGGAAGCCCCCGUGGAUGUUGA